GUCCUAGAAGGGCGGGCCGCGCGUUACCAUGGAGACCGCGGAACAGAAAGGCGCGCCCGGCACUUCGCGGCUCAGCCCCUCUUCUCUGAGGCGCGGGUGGGAUUUUUUUCGACUUCACUUGAGGAGACCUUCGAGCUCCUUGGGGCCCUACCGGGGGGAAGACAGGACCCGCAAGGCCAGUAACCUGAAAUGCAGAGUGGAGCUGUUGAACUUCACUGGUCUCUAAAGCCAUGGUGCUGAUGGACAAAAAAUGCAGAACAGCUCCUGCCCCUUGCCUCAAAAUGUUCCACCCAGUGACCAAGAAGAGCAGAGCUUACAAGUGAGAAGAUUUUGGCAUCACUUUUGAUUCAACAUUGGCCUAUAGUCAUCCAGCCUGAAAAUAUCACCCCUUUCUCUUGGCUCUGGCAAAAGAAAGAUGGAGAGCUAACAGUCAUCCUUCUGCUUAUGAG
rnacentral:lncRNA from 1 species